GAUGAACGCUGGCGGCGUGCCUAAUACAUGCAAGUCGAGCGAACAGACGAGGGGCUUGCUCCUCUGACGUUAGCGGCGGACGGGUGAGUAACACGUGGAUAACCUACCUAUAAGACUGGGAUAACUUCGGGAAACCGGAGCUAAUACCGGAUAAUAUAUUGAACCGCAUGGUUCAAUAGUGAAAGACGGUUUUGCUGUCACUUAUAGAUGGAUCCGCGCCGCAUUAGCUAGUUGGUAAGGUAACGGCUUACCAAGGCAACGAUGCGUAGCCGACCUGAGAGGGUGAUCGGCCACACUGGAACUGAGACACGGUCCAGACUCCUACGGGAGGCAGCAGUAGGGAAUCUUCCGCAAUGGGCGAAAGCUUGACGGAGCAACGCCGCGUGAGUGAUGAAGGUCUUCGGAUCGUAAAACUCUGUUAUUAGGGAAGAACAAAUGUGUAAGUAACUAUGCACGUCUUGACGGUACCUAAUCAGAAAGCCACGGCUAACUACGU
rnacentral:rRNA from 1 species